UACAGAGGGUGCGAGCGUUAAUCGGAAUUACUGGGCGUAAAGCGUGCGUAGACGGCUAUCUAAGUCGGGUGUGAAAUCCCCGGGCUUAACCUGGGAACUGCAUUUGUGACUGCAUCGCUGGAGUGCGGCAGAGGGGGAUGGAAUUCCACGUGUAGCGGUGAAAUGCGUAGAGAUGUGGAGGAACACCGAUGGCGAAGGCAGCCUCCUGGGCCAAUACUGACGCUCAUGCACGAAAGCGUGGGGAGCAAACAGG
rnacentral:rRNA from 1 species